rnacentral:tRNA from 1 species
GGGCCGUUAGCUCAGCGGUCGAGCAGUUGGCUUUUAACCAAUUGGUCGAUGGUUCGAAUCCAUCACGGCCCA